CUACGGGAUGCAGCAGUGGGGAAUAUUGGACAAUGGGGGAAACCCUGAUCCAGCAAUGCCGCGUGUGUGAAGAAGGCCUGCGGGUUGUAAAGCACUUUCGGUUGGGAGGACUGCUUCUAGCACUAAUAUUGUUGGAAGUUGACGUUACCUUCAGAAGAAGCACCGGCUAACUCCGUGCCAGCAGCCGCGGUAAUACGGGAGGGUGCAAGCGUGAAUCGGAAUUACUGGGCGUAAAGCGCGCGUAGGCGGCUAGAUCAGUCGGGUGUGAAAGCCCCGGGCUUAACCUGGGAACUGCAUCCGAUACUGUCUAGCUUGAGUACAGGAGAGGAGAGUGGAAUUCCACAUGUAGCGGUGAAAUGCGUAGAUAUGUGGAGGAACACCAAUGGCGAAGGCAGCUCUCUGGCCUGAUACUGACGCUGAGGUGCGAAAGCGUGGGGAGCAAACAGGAUUAGAUACCCGGGUAGUC
rnacentral:rRNA from 1 species